rnacentral:rRNA from 1 species
AUUGAACGCUGGCGGCAUGCCUAACACAUGCAAGUCGAACGAGUGGCGGACGGGUGAGUAAUGUCUGGGAAACUGCCCGAUGGAGGGGGAUAACUGCUGGAAACGGUAGCUAAUACCGCAUACCAUCGGAUCUGCCCAGGUGGGAUUAGCUGGUAGGUGGGGUAACGGCUCACCAAGGCGACGAUCCCUAGCGGGUCUGAGAGGAUGACCCGCCACACUGGAACUGAGACACGGCCCAGACUCCUACGGGAGGCAGCAGGGGGGAAUAUUGCACAAUGGGCGCAAGCCUGAUGCAGCCAUGCCGCGUGUAUGAAGAAGGCCUUCGGGUUGUAAAGUACUUUCAGCGGGGAGGCGUUACCCGCAGAAGAAGCACCGGCUAACUCCGUGCCAGCAGCCGCGGUAAUAC